GUUGUGGCUCAGCGGUAGAGUGCUUGCCUAGCAUGUGCGAGGCCCUGGGUUUGAUCCUCAGCACCACA
rnacentral:tRNA from 1 species